UAUGUAUUACCUAAAAUAUAC
rnacentral:piRNA from 1 species